AUUGAACGCUGGCGGCAGGCUUAACACAUGCAAGUCGAGCGGAGAGAGGUAGCUUGCUACUGAUCUUAGCGGCGGACGGGUGAGUAAUGCUUAGGAAUCUGCCUAUUAGUGGGGGACAACAUUUCGAAAGGAAUGCUAAUACCGCAUACGUCCUACGAGAGAAAGCAGGGGAUCUUCGGACCUUGCGCUAAUAGGUGAGCCUAAGUCGGAUUAGCUAGUUGGUGGGGUAAAGGCCUACCAAGGCGACGAUCUGUAGCGGGUUUGAGAGGAUGAUCCGCCACACUGGGACUGAGACACGGCCCAGACUCCUACGGGAGGCAGCAGUGGGGAAUAUUGGACAAUGGGCGGAAGCCUGAUCCAGCCAUGCCGCGUGUGUGAAGAAGGCCUUAUGGUUGUAAAGCACUUUAAGCGAGGAGGAGGCUACUUUAGUUAAUACCUAGAGAUAGUGGACGUUACUCGCAGAAUAAGCACCGGCUAACUCUGUGCCAGCCGCCGCGGUAA
rnacentral:rRNA from 1 species